GGAGACGUGGCGUAAUGGAUAACACAUCAGUCCGUUUUACUGAAGAUGCUGGUUCGCUCCCAGCCGCCG
rnacentral:tRNA from 1 species